UGGGGAAUAUUGGACAAUGGGCGAAAGCCUGAUCCAGCCAUGCCGCGUGUGUGAAGAAGGUCUUCGGAUUGUAAAGCACUUUAAGUUGGGAGGAAGGGCAGUAAGCGAAUACCUUGCUGUUUUGACGUUACCGACAGAAUAAGCACCGGCUAACUCUGUGCCAGCAGCCGCGGUAAUACAGAGGGUGCAAGCGUUAAUCGGAAUUACUGGGCGUAAAGCGCGCGUAGGUGGUUCGUUAAGUUGAAUGUGAAAGCCCCGGGCUCAACCUGGGAACUGCAUCCAAAACUAGCGAGCUAGAAUAAGGCAGGGAGUGGUGGAAUUUCCUGUGUAGCGGUGAAAUGCAUAGAUAUAGGAAGUAACACCAGUGGCAAAGGCGACCACCUGGGCUCAUACUGACACUGAGGUGCGAAAGCGUGGGGAGCAAACAGG
rnacentral:rRNA from 1 species